rnacentral:misc_RNA from 1 species
AAGUCGUAACAAGGUUUCCGUAGGUGAACCUGCGGAAGGAUCAUUAUUGAAUUCAAAUCAUCUGUGGCUUCGGUCCGGAUGUGCCAACAGGUAACACUGUUGGUAAUUCUAUCCAUAACACCUGUGAACUGUUGGAUGCUUGCAUCCACUUUUAUACUAAACAUUAUUGUAACAAAUGUAGUCUUAUUAUAACUAAUAAAACUUUUAACAACGGAUCUCUUGGCUCUCG